GACGAACGCUGGCGGCGUGCUUAACACAUGCAAGUCGAACGGUGAAAGCGGAGCUUGCUCCGCUGGAUCAGUGGCGAACGGGUGAGUAACACGUGGGCAACCUGCCCCUCACUUCGGGAUAACUCCGGGAAACCGGGGGCUAAUACCGGAUAUGACCUCCUUGGGCAUCCUUGGAGGUGGAAAGUUUUUCGGUGAGGGAUGGGCCCACGGCCUAUCAGCUUGUUGGUGAGGUAGUGGCUCACCAAGGCGACGACGGGUGGCCGGCCUGAGAGGGCGACCGGCCACACUGGGACUGGGACACGGCCCAGACUCCUAGGGGAGGCAGCAGUGGGGAAGAUUGCGCAAUGGGCGAAAGCCUGACGCAGCAACGCCGCGUGCGGGAUGACGGCCUUCGGGUUGUAAACCGCUUUCAGCAGGGAAGAAGCCGCUAGGUGACGGUACCUGCAGAAGAAGCACCGGCUAACUACGUGCCAGCCGCCGCCGUAA
rnacentral:rRNA from 1 species